rnacentral:lncRNA from 1 species
UGAUGGGGUUUGUAAGUCUGCCAGUCUUCUUUCAAUAUUAUACUCUUAAGACUAUUUGCCAUGUUCUGAACUAGAUUUCAAACUAAUCAGUCACAAGGACUCCGUAUGAGAUAUGGACUAGGCGUAAGUCGAUAUUUCCUUACCUUAAGGUUUAGGAGUGUUUGUUUUAUGUCAAGCAUUUACAGACUGAUUAGCUUGGAUCCCAAUCCUA